rnacentral:rRNA from 1 species
GAGUAACACGUGGGUAACCUGCCUGUAAGACUGGGAUAACUCCGGGAAACCGGGGCUAAUACCGGAUGCUUGAUUGAACCGCAUGGUUCAAUCAUAAAAGGUGGCUUUCAGCUACCACUUGCAGAUGGACCCGCGGCGCAUUAGCUAGUUGGUGAGGUAACGGCUCACCAAGGCGACGAUGCGUAGCCGACCUGAGAGGGUGAUCGGCCACACUGGGACUGAGACACGGCCCAGACUCCUACGGGAGGCAGCAGUAGGGAAUCUUCCGCAAUGGACGAAAGUCUGACGGAGCAACGCCGCGUGAGUGAUGAAGGUUUUCGGAUCGUAAAACUCUGUUGUUAGGGAAGAACAAGUACCGUUCGAAUAGGGCGGUACCUUGACGGUACCUAACCAGAAAGCCACGGCUAACUACGUGCCAGCAGCCGCGGUAAUACGUAGGUGGCAAGCGUUGUCCGGAAUUAUUGGGCGUAAAGCGCGCGCAGGCGGUUUCUUAAGUCUGAUGUGAAAGCCGGGGUACAACCGGGGAGGGUCAUUGGAAACUGGGGAACUUGAGUGCAGAAGAGGAGAGUGGAAUUCCACGUGUAGCGGUGAAAUGCGUAGAGAUGUGGAGGAACACCAGUGGGCGAAGGCGACUCUCUGGUCUGUAACUGACGCUGAGGCGCGAAAGCGUGGGGAGCGAACAGGAUUAGAUACCCUGGUAGUCCACGCCGUAAACGAUGAGUGCUAAGUGUUAGAGGGUUUCCGCCCUUUAGUGCUGCAGCAAACGCAUUAAGCACUCCGCCUGGGGAGUACGGUCGCAAGACUGAAACUCAAAGGAAUUGACGGGGGCCCGCACAAGCGGUGGAGCAUGUGGUUUAAUUCGAAGCAACGCGAAGAACCUUACCAGGUCUUGACAUCCUCUGACAACCCUAGAGAUAGGGCUUCCCCUUCGGGGGCAGAGUGACAGGUGGUGCAUGGUUGUCGUCAGCUCGUGUCGUGAGAUGUUGGGUUAAGUCCCGCAACGAGCGCAACCCUUGAUCUUAGUUGCCAGCAUUCAGUUGGGCACUCUAAGGUGACUGCCGGUGACAAACCGGAGGAAGGUGGGGAUGACGUCAAAUCAUCAUGCCCCUUAUGACCUGG